rnacentral:lncRNA from 1 species
ACCACCACCACCACCAAUUCGUUCUCCUCGUCCCUAUUAUUACAAAUCUCCACCACCACCUUCUCCAUCUCCUCGAACACCUUAUUACCGUAAAUCACCACCACCACCGCCACUAAUUCGUUCUCCUCAUCCAUAUUAUUAUAAAUCUCCACCACCGCCUUCUCCAUCUCCCCCGCCACCUUAUUUCCCUAAAUCACCACCACCACCAAUCCAUUCUCCUCAUCCAUAUAAGUCUCCACCACCACCUUCUCCAUCUCCACCUCCACCUUAUUACACUACAUCACCACCACUACCAAUCAUUUCUCCUCCACCGCCAUAUUAUCACAAAUCUCCACCACCGCCUUCUCCAUCUGCACCGCCUCCAUCUCCAUCUUCAUUGCCGUCACCUUCGAUUACACCUAUCGCUGAACCAUUUCCAUCUCCGAUGGUGCCACCACCAUUGACUACACCUAUUUCUGAACCAUCUCCAUCUCCAUCUCCAUCUCCAUCUCCAUCUCCAUCUCCAUCUCCAUCUCCAUCCCUGCUAGCACCGUCGAUUACACCUAUCGCUGAACCAUUCCCAUCUCCAUUUCCGCUAGCACCAUCGACAACCCCUAUUGUUGAACCCUUUCCAUCUCCAUUGCCGCCAAUUGCUGAACCAUUUCCGUCACUAUCGCCUUCACCAUCACCAAUUACACCUAUCGCUGAACCAUUCCCAUCUCCAUUUUCUCUAGCACCAUCGACAACCCCUAUUGUUGAACCCUUUCCAUCUCCAUUGCCACCAAUUGCUGAACCAUUUCCAUCACUAUCGCCUCUACCAUCACCAAUUACACCUAUCGCUGAACCAUUCCCAUCUCCAUUUCCGCUAGCACCAUCGACAACCCCUAUUGUUGAACCCUUUCCAUCUCCAUUGCCACCAAUUGCUGGACCAUUUCCAUCGCUAUCGCCUCCACAAUCACCAAUUACACCUACCACUCAACCAUUUCCAUCUUUAUCUCCUCCUUCACCAUUAAUUGCACCUACUGAUGAACCAUUUCCAUCUCCAUUGCCGCCUGCAUCUCCUCCUUUGUCUCUACCUAUUUCUCCAUCUCCACCACCUCCAAUAAAGACCCCCCUUCCUCCAUUGGUGUCUCCACCUCCACCAUGCUACACUAAAUAUCCUCCCCCACCAUCUUUGUUCCAUCUUCCACUACCACUUCCCUUUAAUCGACCUCCACUUCCACCAUCUAAUUGUAUGCCUCCCCCACCAUCUCCACUAUGUAAUAAUAAAUCUCCACCCCCACCAUCUUUUUUCCAUAUUUCUCUACCUUUUCCCUUUAGUCGACCUCCACCUCCAUCAUCGAAUUGUAUCUCUCCUCCACCACCAUAUCCAUUAAAGUCUCCACCUCCACCUCCACCUCCACCACCUCCUUCUCCAUCUCCCCCACCUCUAAUAAAGCCUCCGCCUCCUCCUUCAAAGUCUCCACCUCCACCACCACCUUCUCCAUCUCCCCCACCUCCAAUAAAGCCUCCGCCUCCUCCUUCAAAGUUUCCAUCUCCCCCACCUCCAAUAAAGCCUCCGCCUCCUCCUUCAAAGUUUCCAUCUCCCCCACCUCCAAUAAAACAUCCGCCUCCUCCAUCAAAGUCUUCACCUCCACCACCUUCUUCAUCUCUUCCACCUCUAAUAAAGUCUCCGCCCCCACCAUCAAUAUCUCCACCUCGACCACCUUCGGUAAAUUCCCCACCUCCCCCAUCAAAGUCUCCACCUCCACCUCUCGUAAAGUCCCCGCCUCCACCAAAGUCUUUACCUCUUUCACCACAGCCACCUUCUCCAUCUCCCCCACCUCCGAUAAAGCUUCUGCCUCCCCCACCCCCACCUUUAGUAAAGUCUCCACCUCCUCCACCUUCGAUAAAGUCUCCACCUCCUCCAUUUUCAAUAGUUCUUCCACCAUUGCCACGAAUAC